GAUGAUCAGUUCCAAAGGGCUUGACGAGGGCGUUGAUCUAUGAUGAUACCAUGCCAGAGUAAGUUUCACAUGGUUACUGACUCUUGAAACACCUCUGAUAUACAGUUAAUUGUUCUGGAAAAUUGCAUUUUGAUGGUUUAUGAGCAUAGAAAAUUCUGUUGAGCAUGCUAUUUUUAGAAUAUAAAUCUUCCUGGGGUCUGUGGUUCUUUUAUUCCCGGUUGAUCCUUUAGCAGUGUUGUUGAGAUACUGUUGUUUACAAUGCACUUGAUUGUUGCUUGAUGUGGGAUGAAGAGGAUGACGAUAUCUAAUAUAUGCAUUGGCUGAUUUACCGAAAGACAUUACUUGAUGUGGGAUGAAGAGGAUGACGAUAUCUAAUAUAUGCAUUGGCUGAUUUACCGAAAGACAUUACUUGAUGAUAUAUAGGAUUGUAAAUGAACCAAUCCAUUCACGAGCUACUCCAAUCUUGACUCGUUUAAAGCUUGUCUGAUCUCGGUUUGUUAAAUUAAUGAGUUAAAUUUGAGCUCAUCAAUACUCGGCUCAUUUAGUUCACACGAUAGCUCUUAAAUAACUUUGUCAACGAUUCAAAUUUAAAUUAUAUAUUUUUAUUUAAUAUGUAUAAAAUUAUUCUUUCUUAAACUUACUAAUUAAAAAUAUAUAAAAAAAUUAAUAUAUUUUAAUUUUGUAAUGUUUACUGUAAACAAAAUUUCAAGCAAAUAUUACUAAGUGUAGAAAAGACUUUGGAUCGAUUGAACUUGUUUAGGCUUGUGAGCUUUAUAUGAGAUAUAUUACUCGGCUCAAGCUUGACUGAUUUGUUAAACGAGCUUCAAAUUAAGGCUUGGGAACAGCUUAAUUAUUAUACCAGCCAAGCUUGAGUAAGGAUUAAGUUGACACAUACGAGCAUAGCCCUCUAUCAUGUUAUCUAAUAUGUGCAGUCGGAAUUUCAUUUAUGUUAUGUUUUGAUGCUAUGUUUACCUUUUUGUACAGUAAAAGAUUUCUUGUGGAUAUGUUUCUGUAAUUUCUUUUAUGUAGUGAAGAUAUAAAUUAGGACUUCUCUGGAACAGAAUGCAUGACAGAGUUGGACUGGUUGAGGCUAUGUUUAAUGCAAGGAAUGGGAAUUGGAUCUCAACAGCUGUAGAUUCCUAAUAGCUCUUCUUCAGAUCAGUAUUCAUUUUGAAUU
rnacentral:misc_RNA from 1 species